rnacentral:rRNA from 1 species
AACACAUGCAAGUCGAACGGUGAACGAGGAGCUUGCUCCUCUGGAUCAGGCGAACGGGUGAGUAACACGUGAGUAACUGCCCCCAGACUCUGGGAUAAGCACUGGAAGGUGUCUAAUACCGGAUACGAGCUUCAGUCGCAUGACUAGGAGCUGGAAAGAAUUUCGCUGGGAUGGACUCGCGGCCUAUCAGCUAGUUGGUGAGGUAAUGGCUCACCAAGGCGACCGGGUAGCCGGCCUGAGAGGGUGACCGGCCACACUGGGACUGAGACACGGCCCAGACUUACGGGAGGCAGCAGUGGGGAAUAUUGCACAAUGGGCGCAAGCCUGAUGCAGCAACGCCGUGAGGGACGACGGCCUUCGGGUUGUAAACCUCUUUUAAUAGGGAAGAAGCGAAAGUCGGUACCUGCAGAAAAAGCACCGGCUAACUACGUGCCAGCAGCCGCGGUAAUACGUAGUGCAAGCGUUAUCCGGAAUUAUUGGGCGUAAAGAGCUCGUAGGCGGUUUGUCGCGUCUCGUGAAAACUGGAGGCUCAACCUCCAGCCUGCGGUGGGUACGGGCAGACUAGAGUGCGAGGGGAGAUUGGAAUUCCUGGUGUAGCGGUGGAAUGCGCAGAUAUCAGGAGGAACACCUGGCGAAGGCAGAUCUCUGGGCCGUAACUGACGCCGAGGAGCGAAAGCAUGGGGAGCGCAGGAUUAGAUACCCUGGUAGUCCAUGCCGUAAACGUUGGGAACUAGAUGUAGGGACC